ensembl:lncRNA
AUUUUCUUGAUACUUGCUUUUCAGACAGAUUUUGUCGUGUCUUUGUGUUAUUGAAGGACCAUUUCCACUUACAAUGGCACCUUAUCUGACCACCGAUUACCUGAAGAAGCUUUUUGAACCAGCCGGAAGUGUAUUUGUUGCCUUUUUGUUUUUGAUUAUUUUCCAGUUUGUGUUCAAAGUGGAUUUUGAAUGUCCUUGUGACCCUAAGGAAAAUUCUCAAGUCUGCGCAAUUUACAUGAGUCUACCUGCCAUCUCUCUUUGUAUUAUAGUGAUUAUUAUUGAAAAGAGCACAAGGAGCAUUUUCUGCAACAAUGGAACAGGAACAAAAUACAAGUGCAUAGUUUUUUUAAUGUCAGUAAUUAGAGGACUAUCUGUAGCGAGCCUGUGGAUAAUUACAUUAUUGAUUGAUGGGGACUGGUAUGUGUGUCUUAAAACAACAAACUAUGACUUGCCUCCUUAUGAGCAAAUCUUUUGCAAAAACAUCCUAAUCCAAACCCCUGCUGAAGCUGCAGAAAUCCGAGUCCAAAAAAGUCUCUCACGCGAGAUCGCCAUAUUGGUUUUAUUUGUAGUAAGUGUCCUUUGGAUAUUCAUAGCUAUAAGACAAUUUCACUGCAGGCACCCACUUGCAUAUCAGUAUAAUAAGUUUCUGCUGGAGGAGACGGACCUCUAUAUUAUAAAGGAAUUGAAAAAAAUGGCCGAAGGCACAGCAAAGACAAGAGGACAGCAACAAAUACAAAAUGCCAAAGCAUUGUUAGACCUUAAUCCUCAGCCAGAGUGUGUCGUGCUUGCAUCCUUUAAACUUCAUGCCCAAACAUCAGAACCACAGCAGACGGCAACUGUAAAACACAAUGUUCCAGAAACACAGCAACUGGAGGAUGUUCUGCUCACAAAUGUUCAAAUCACUGCAAAACAAAGAGAACAACAGCAGCCAGAGCCGGUUCUGCUCGCAAACAUUCAAAUCACUGCAAACCAAACAGAACAACAGCAAACCCAGAGCUGCUAGUUGGAGCAAACACAUAUACAUCACCAGAGCAUGCCAGGCAAACAGCUGGCAAUAUACCAACUGUUACAACCCUUUAUUUUUGUCUCUUUCUUUUGAAAUUGUUUGUGUCCAGGGGCUCUGCUGAUUGGCUCCUGUAAGCUGAUGACUUGUCCAUUCUGAUUGGUGCAGUCGACUCCAGGCACACCUUAAAAGCCCUGAUGUCAGUUCCUUUGGGAGGAGGGGAAUUGUAUUUUGUUGUGGGGCUGCUUUGGCUGUGUGUGGUUAAACAAGUUUGCUCUGUGAUUAUAGUUUGUUCUUUGAAAGUGAAGCUGUUCUGGUUUUUGACCCAAUUGACUGUUGUACUGACAUUGUUCUGGAAUGCCCCUUAUAAAUUUGUCUGCUUAACUUUGUAAAUAAUUUCUAAUUGUAAAUAGUGAAGGCUUGGGAAGGUAGGGAGACUGACGCCACCUUUUUGUUUAUUGUAACCUCUUUUGGACUCUGUUUUUUGGUUAGGGAGCUGGGAAAGUAUAUUGUAUAUUUAUGUUGAUAUUCGUUUGUUAGGUUUUAGGUUUUGUUUGUUAUUUUGGCAUUGUCAGUCCCCGACGAGAUAUCACUAUAUUUGCCUACUGGAGUUUCCUUUUAUUUAUAUCAUUAAAUCUCAGAAAAAAC